rnacentral:tRNA from 1 species
UGGGAUGUGGCUCAGUGGUAGAGCGCUUGUCUAGUAUGCAUGAAAUCCUAGGUUCAUUCUCCAGUACCACAG